CCCAAUCGGGGCAGGAGGGAGACACUCCAGCCUCCUCCCAGCUUGGGGUGCCUGGCUCUCCCCUGCCCCUUCGCCCUACUGGCCCCAGCCCCUCUCCCCUCCUGGCUCCGCUGCUCUCCCAGCCUCUCCGGCCUCGCUCUCCAUCUCCCGCCGACAUCCUCUCUUUGCCUGCCUGCUUCCCCUCCUUCCCUCAGCUUCCAGGUCUCUGCUGGUCCCCAAGGAGCACUUUGACCUCUGCUCCCCCCUCGAGUGCUGAGGAACAAGCCUCCCCCACCCCACCAUCCCACCACGGGGGCUGCUGAUCCAGAGGCCCCACGCGGCCAGCCCCAAGCGUCUUGCCCGGCUGUGGAUGGACAUGGCCAGGACCAGGAUGAAGUAGAAACCUGGCAAGAGGACCGCCACCGCAGGGAAAGCCCUCUCUCCCUUGGCCGCAGGGACUGGGAGAGAGGACCCGGCUGCUCCUCAGACGGGCCUUUGGCAUGCAGAGCGCUGUGGCUGAACCACCCUUGGCUCUUCCUGCAGCUCCUCCUUCGCAUUUUUCCCCACGCUGUGGUCAGGAGGUCUGUGUCCCCCCAGAGAGUCACACCCUGAUGAUGUGAGGUGGGCGGGGGUCUUUGGGAGGCUCACAGGAGCUUGUUCCAUCCUUCUGCCUGGGAGGGUGUCUCCAGGAGACGCUCCCCUGAGCUCCAGAACCAUGAGAAAGCCAUGUUUGGUGUGCAAAACCAACCGGCUUGUGGCAUUUUGUUAUAACAGCCAGAAGAGACUAAGAUAGCUGCUACGGUUUGGGUCUUAAGUGACCCCCAAAACUCCAUGAGCGGAAGGCUCAGCCCCCAGCGCGGUGCUGUUGGAAGGUGGUGGGACCUUUAAGAGGCGGCGCUUAGCGGGAGGUCUUCAGAUCGCUGAGGAAGUGCCUUUGACUGGGGGGGGGGGGGUGAUAUCCAGCCCUUUCCUCUUCCUCCCUUCAGUUUCCUGCCAGGAGGUGUGUGGUUUGCUCCACCAUGGCUGCCACCAAGAUAGACUGCCUCUGGUCCAAGGCAAUGGGGCCAGCCAACAGUGGACUGAGACCUCCAAAACUGGAGCCAAGUCAACCUUUUCUCUUGACAAGUUGAUUGUCCCAGGUAUUUGUCAUAGUGACAGAAAGCUGACUGACGCACAUCCUACUUCUCAGCUUAAAUGUCACCUUCACACAAUGCCCUGUCUGACACAUCUGAGCAGGACCCCCCUGUUCUUCCCUGGCUCUGCACUGUGUUGCUCCUUUGUGGUGCUUUUUAGCAUUUGUAAUUCCACAUGUUUCUCCUUUGUCAACUAGAACUCUAUGAAGUCUCUGUUUGGUUCAUGACCCAAUUAAGGGCUUGCACACAGUGGGUACUCAUUAAACAUGGAAAGAAUGAAUCCGUGAAUGGCUUCUCUCUCCAUCAUCUCUGAAGAACCUCUGAUCACUUAGAGGAGCAGGAAACUCCUGCCUUCAAGAUCUACUGAGAGAAAACCAGCCACGGUCUGGCAUGCAGCCCCCUUCUGCCUCCAGCCAACCUGAGAGCCCGAGACAACUCCCCCACGCUGUGCCCAGAGGAAUGAACAAGCCCUGAGGCCAAAGUCCCCUGUCCCUCUCUGUGGGUCAGCAGAAAUUCAGAGAAGAAAGGCAUUUGAGAACAGACUCCAGGAACCAUAUACUUUGUUAUUUACAUAAAAGAGUUCUGGGAUUUCAUCAUUUUUGGAGAGAUGGCUGGUGUUUCAUGGAAAGCAGGCAAUGCCCCAAGCUUUGGGGUUCUGAGGAUUGCCAACUACCCUGGGAGGCCGGCUCCUGAAUGCAGAAUGACCAGUCUAGGCAGAGACCUGUGUGCCAAAGUGUGUCACAGAAAUACUGGUCUUGCUGGACUUCAGGGGCCCCACAGGCUCGAACAAAAGGUAUGACAGAGUGAUCUGCAUAGACCAAAGGCCAGAGAGCACCCCUCCAAUGUUUUUGCCUGUUUGGGGAUCUCACAGCCUUUGUACAAGGUUAGAUAUAGUAAGCCCCAAGCUUAAAUGCCACCCCACCUGAACACAUCAAGGUCUUGGG